AUAACAACUACAGGUCAAACAUGGAAAUAGUUCACAUAGUUUUUCCACCAUUCAUUUUUCCCACAGGGCUGUGUUUUGUUUAGGCUCACCGUGGUGUGAUGUUUUGAUAACCAUGUAAAUCUCUCUAGGACAAGGUGACUGAGGGUGAAUGUACACUAGAUAAAUAGCGGUAAAUUGCUGUGUGCCGCUUAGGCCGCCCGUUGUGACUCCGGCAAGAAUUCAGCAGAACAAGUUUGUAUGUAGGUCUGGUUAUUAAAUGGGUACAUAGUUCAUUAGUAAUAUCCUCUAAAACGCUCUGGUGACAAACUUUGCUGCCCUAUUUCCAGUUGUCCAAAUGGCUGGGAGAACCUAUUCAAGUAGCUAGCUAACAGCCAUGGAGGGUGAAAGGAUAGCAGCCCCAACUGUCAGUGAGAGAGGAGAGAGGAGGCUAUUCUGGAUAAGGCAGGUACUUUUGUGUAGUUCCUGUUCCUAGAAGUGAGGACUAAGAUAAUAGUAACAUAAUAUUCAGUGUGGUGUAAUUUGACUAGAAUGAAAUCUGUUUCUUGUGAGGUUUUCUGUCCUCAGAUAAAGAGCGCUAUGAAAGCCAGUCUACAUAUGAAGAGGUCCCAAUGAAGAGCAGUGGUUCUCAGUCCUGGGGACUCAAAGAGGGGCAUAUUGUUGUUUUUGCCUCAGCACUGCACAGCUGAUUCAAAUGAUAAACUCAUUAUCAAGCUUCAAGUGAUACCUUGUAACUGGAGAUUCCUUCAAAACAUUUGCCUACAGUUACCGUGUAGGGCACUGCAAGGUCAGGUGACCAGGGUGUGAAGGCUACCGGUGUCCUGCGUAACUUCAUGAAGAUGGACUCUAGGACCAGGAGAGGACCUGCAGCUCACCGCCAAGUGCCAGAGAAGUCUGCUGCUCUGCAGGAUUGUUCAGUCAUUUUUUUAUCAAUGUUCAUAAAUUCCAAUUAUCUUUAUCUGUCUGAUACCCAGAGGUUGUAAAGUUCUGGUCUUAAAUAAAACAGACAGAAUUCCCAGCUCACAGUUGAUCAGAUCCAAGUUUAUUUGCGAGAGCUCUGCCGUGCAUACACAAAUACGUUCCUUUUAUAACAUUCUAACCUACGCACAUACAUACACACAAACAUAGGGAUUUUCUCACGAGUCUCACCACAGUUUAUAACCACUCAGCUGACAGUUCCAGUCUCCCCCAGAUACUAGAGCUCUGGAGGGGCUCUCCCUGUCCUAUCUUAUCUCUCCAGAGUUACAGCCAGGUCGGUUCAAACAUAGGUUAAUGCUCCUCUUCAUUCUCUUUCUACACCCACAUACAUUCCUUUCUUCCUAGAUCUAUGCUACAUAACCCCUUCCUAAUGAACA
ensembl:lncRNA